GACGAACGCUGGCGGCGUGCCUAAUACAUGCAAGUAGAACGCUGAAGGAGGAGCUUGCUUCUCUGGAUGAGUUGCGAACGGGUGAGUAACGCGUAGGUAACCUGCCUGGUAGCGGGGGAUAACUAUUGGAAACGAUAGCUAGUACCGCAUAAGAGUAGAUGUUGCAUGACAUUUGCUUAAAAGGUGCAAUUGCAUCACUACCAGAUGGACCUGCGUUGUAUUAGCUAGUUGGUGGGGUAACGGCUCACCAAGGCGACGAUACAUAGCCGACCUGAGAGGGGGAUCGGCCACACUGGGACUGGGACACGGCCCAGACUCCUGCGGGGGGCAGCAGUAGGGGAUCUUCGGCAAUGGACGGAAGUCUGACCGAGCAACGCCGCGUGAGUGAAGAAGGUUUUCGGAUCGUAAAGCUCUGUUGUAAGAGAAGAACGAGUGUGAGAGUGGAAAGUUCACACUGUGACGGUAUCUUACCAGAAAGGGACGGCUAACUACGUG
rnacentral:rRNA from 1 species